rnacentral:piRNA from 1 species
UUCAGCUUUUAAAUAGCUUUACAUCUUACUA